ACUGUUCAUUUGUUUAAACCAUGACCUUGCAAAUGUUAAAAGUGCAGAUUAGCUACGUAGGUCAGCAAGGAUGAAUUUCUAACUUUGUUCUUUUUUUUCUUUUCUUCAGAUGACCUUUUUUUUUCACUCCCAAGCUUUUUCCCUCCAAGUGGCUGUGCAGUUCUGUCCUGUUGACUGCUAACAUAGCUUCAUCUCUUCAAAAGACAAGACAACAGGUAUCUUCCACCAAGAUGUCUGUUGAAAUGGAAAUGACCUUACCCACUACACCAAGGGUAAUCAUGCUUGGAAAUAGCUUGAUGUCUGCAACCCGGUGGAUGGUCAGUAUGGAGGAGAAGAUAUUUUUCAAGCCUGAGCAACUACAUGACUUUGCCAGUGUCCUUGCUGUCUUUUCUGGGUCAUAUUAUGUCUUCAAUCUGGAGUAUCAGGAGUCAGCAUCCACCACGCUGGAGAUGAUACAAUG